UACGAAGGGGGCUAGCGUUGCUCGGAAUCACUGGGCGUAAAGCGCACGUAGGCGGAUCUUUAAGUCAGGGGUGAAAUCCCAAGGCUCAACCUUGGAACUGCCUUUGAUACUGGGGAUCUCGAGUCCGGAAGAGGCGAGUGGAAUUCCCGGUGUAGCGGUGAAAUGCGCAGAUAUCGGGAGGAACACCAAUGGCGAAGGCAGCUCGCUGGGACGGUACUGACGCUGAGACGCGAAAGCGUGGGGAGCAAACAGG
rnacentral:rRNA from 1 species